rnacentral:rRNA from 1 species
UAAAGGUCGAAAGGGGAGAUUCAGUAUCCAGUCCUCACUGCCGCUUCGCGUCGCAGGGUAUAACUUGGGAUCGCCCCUCGGGGUGGUCCCGGGCCCUCGGCACGUCUCGCGCGCGGGAGGUGGAGCGCACUUCUCCCCGAGUAGGACGCCGCGACCCGCUGGGUGUCGGUCUGAGGUCCGGGUGCGAGCCCGGGCCGCGGUUCGCCGCGGCCCGGAGCCCCGGUGUCCCGACCGACUGCUCGGCGGUAGAACGUAAGGAAUCGGCCCGCGGGACCUCUCGGUCACGCGCCCGUGCCUCUUGCGAGCGUCCGGUCGCGUUUCCCGUCGUGCGGACUUGUCCGCCGCGGGCCGGCCGGCGUUGUCGGCUUGGGGAUUUCUCGGGCAGCGGCCUUCUCCUGUUUGCGGCGCUCACAACUGGGCGGCCCACCCGGCCCGUCUUGAAACACGGACCAAGGAGUCUAACAUGUGCGCGAGUCAUUGGGUCCCACUACACCCAAGGGCGUAUUGAACGAAAAGGCCGGCCUCCGCGCCGGCCGAGGGAAGAUGGGCUGGCACU